ensembl:lncRNA
CAAAACCAAUACAAACAUAGGGAGAAAAUACAAAGAAACAUUUUAUUUUGUCCAGGUCUUGAUUAGUCCAAGUGAGUGUUGGGAAGGGUCUUUAUUAGUCCAGGUUAGUGUUGGGAAGGGUCUUGAUUAGUCCAGGUGAGUGUUGGGAAGGGUCUUGAUUAGUCCAGGUGAGCAUUGGGAAGGGUCUUGAUUAGUCUCUGAGUGUUGGGAAGGGUCUCGAUUAGUCCUAGUGAGUGUUGGGAAGGGUCUCGAUUAGUCCUAGUGAAUGUUGUGAAGGGUCUUGAUUAGUCCAGGUGAAUGUUGUGAAGGGUCUUAAUUAGUCCAGAUGAGUGUAUUGAAAGGUAUUGAUUAGUCCUGGUGGGUGUUACGAGGGGUCUUGGUUAGUCCUGGUGGGUUUUGAAAGGCAGCAGUAUGUUGUAUAGUCUCC